rnacentral:rRNA from 1 species
UACGUAGGGCGCAAGCGUUGUCCGGAAUUAUUGGGCGUAAAGAGCUCGUAGGCGGUCUGUCGCGUCUGCUGUGAAAACUCAGGGCUUAACCCUGAGCUUGCAGUGGGUACGGGCAGACUAGAGUGCGGUAGGGGAGACUGGAAUUCCUGGUGUAGCGGUGAAAUGCGCAGAUAUCAGGAGGAACACCGGUGGCGAAGGCGGGUCUCUGG